AUGAGCAGGGAAAUAGAUAAGGAAAUGGGUGGUCUUCAAUAUAGAAGUUCCAAGCAGCAAAUUAAGUUGGGGAAUGUUUUGGGGAGAAAACCAAGGAAAGAAAAAAAUAAGUUUAUAGGCCAAUGAGAUUAACAGACUAUUCCUGUUGUGACGAGAAGUUAAUAAGAACUGAGAGCAAGAGCUUUUGCCUUUUCAGAUGUUUGAAGACAACCAGAAAACAUCACAGCCCAGGGCUGGAGAGCAUAUAAAAGAUAAGUUUAGAGAAGUCCUCAAACCGAUAAAAUAACAACUUACUUCCCCAAAUAUGCUAAGAGUGUUUGUCUAUGGUUAGUCAAACCAUUAAAAUGGGGAAGGAGGAGGGGUCAGAAUUUUCUCUUCUAAGUUCAGAAGAGCCACAUUUUGCCGUUCUGACUCUAAAGCAACUACAGUACAGAGCACAGAACUGUAAGAAAUGAUCAAAUAUCACCAAGUGCACAAGACUCAAGACUGGCAUAGUAGAAGACAAAGGUGGAUAUGUGGGUUAUUCAAUCAACCUCCUAAUAUGGACAUAAACUCCAGUGGCUUGGACUCUGAACCAUGAUUCCUCAAAAUAAAGCAAACAGUUCCUCAUGACUUUAUAGAGUGAUUAAGCCAUUGGAAAUGCGUUGCACAAAAAGCGUCAUACAGCACAACAGAGAAAAGAGCUCCAGUUAAUGCAACAUGUGGAGAAAGACAGUGUGGAUAUACAUUUAACUGUUUGGCGAAGCUCCUUAACUUUAAAACCGCGUAUUGAAAGUAGGAAACAUAAAAACUUCUAAUGGAAUUCAAAUGAAGAAUAGUGACAUAAAUUAGUUAGGGCUGGAGAAAGAAUAAAAUGCCACUUAUUUAAAAUGCAUGUAGUAAGAAUUCAGAGGAACAGAUACGUUACACAUUUGGGGCAUAUUUCUU